rnacentral:rRNA from 1 species
CUUCUUCUACUUUCUGUAUGGAGCUGGGAGCGUCUGCCUGUUGGACGCCCGAAGAGCGUCAGGUUUGAUCCUUGGUAUGCAGAUGAACAUGACGAAUUACGGCGCCCCACGUGGGCUUACAAGUGGGAUAUCGUUUCCGAGAUGACGAACGAUGUCAAUCUCAUGUACCAAAAGUACAUUGCCGAGUUGGACACGAUUACGCCUGAGCAGGUAAGGAGGUCAUUACUUUAG